GAUGCAAUGAACAGCAUAAGAAAUAACGAUGAACCUUGAAUCGAAGUUUAGGUCAAAGUUCUUAAAUUUUCCUUGAUUUUAUCAAAUUUGAUUUCUGAUUGACCUUAUCAGUUUAGUCCUGCCUUAAUAAAGAGCGAUAAAAUGAAAGUUUAAUAAGUAUAUAAAAGCAUGCAAAUUGUCAUCAAAUUAUCACAUUAACCGUUCAACUUUCAAUCAAACAACUUUACUUGUGUUCCUAUUGAAUAACCACAAUCAAAGAUUCAAAAUGAACUCCAAAAUUAUGUUCAUCGCCAUUAUCCUUGCUGCUUCACUUAUGAUUGCUGAAGCAACAAUCAAAAUCCGAAUCCACAAAAAGCCAAUUAGUAUUCCAAUUCCUACUAAAAUCUCAUUGGGAUUGAUUGGUCAUGAUGAUUGGUGGGGUCAAUCUUGGGGUGGUUCAUGGUCAUCCUGGCCUUCAUGGGGUUGGGGAUGGCAAGAUGAUGCUUGGUGGUAAUUUACCAAUCCAAGGAACAUCAUAUUCAUCUUCAUAUCCAUGAUCAACUCAUAUUCAUGAUAAACUGUCAAUAUCUGCUCAAUAAUUUACAAACCACUUUUGUAAUGAUUAACAUCAAUUUACCUCAUCAUGUUAUUUAUAACAUUAUUCAUUAUCAUGA